rnacentral:rRNA from 1 species
UACGGGGGGAGCAAGCGUUGUUCGGAUUUACUGGGCGUAAAGGGCGCGUAGGCGGCCUCCGCAAGUCGACUGUGAAAUCUCCGGGCUUAACCCGGAACGGUCAGCCGAUACUGCAGGGCUAGAGUGCAGAAGGGGCAACCGGAAUUCUCGGUGUAGCGGUGAAAUGCGUAGAUAUCGAGAGGAACACCUGCGGCGAAGGCGGGUUGCUGGGCUGACACUGACGCUGAGGCGCGAAAGCUAGGGGAGCGAACGGG